rnacentral:lncRNA from 1 species
CAGCACUCUCUUUUCAUUGUUUUUAUGUAAAACUUCUGGAAGCACCUUGUGGAGCCUUCCAUUUUCUUUCCUUUACUGCAGAAGGAGGUACCUGCUCCCUGGAAUUCUGACCUGUGGACGGGACCUGGCCAAAGCCAUGUUGGACACUCUAGGAUGACCUCACCUCUUCGCCAGGCUCCUGAAUCGUGAAACGUGUACUCAUUGCUGGCUUAUCUGUGCUUUGUUAUGGGCCUGACGAGAAACUACCUUCCCCCUGCCCCACUCCUCAGCAAAGAACUGAAAUCCAGUUGAAUUGUUACGUGUUCCUGAGGUGGAGCCUCGAACUGCUUUCUUGGUCAAAUAACUUUGUUUCUGGUUGUAAAAGGGCAUGGGAGGGGGCGGGGGUGUGGAGAGAAAUUGCCAACGUAAGUCUGUACUGGGGUGGGUCACCUCGGGAUUUAACUUUAGAGCUCCCAGCCAGUCUCCUUCUCCUCACCCAGAAGGGAAAUACCAGGCUAUUCUGGCACGUUUUCCCUUAAGCUUCAUUUUCCAAAGAAAAGAGGGGUGGGGUAUAUCUAUUUGAGCUUGAUAAUGUUUUUUAAAUGCUUUCCUUUGAAACGAUAAUAGCUGUAUCGGUAAAAUGCAAAUAAAGCAAAAAUAGGCAGUAUUUCUUUAAAGGGGAA